AACAGACAUUCAGAGGGGAACAGAAUCGACUGCUACACCGGGCAGCAUACGUAACACUCUAAAUAGAUGUUGUCCCUAUUUUCACUUGUAUAUGUGCAGCUAAGAAUACUUUAUCAUUUUUAACUAAACUACAACAGUUUUGACGAUGUUAUGUAAAGUGAUGGUGAAGUAAGUUAUGCAUUGGCGAUCGACUGGCUAGCUGAUUUUGGGAUCUGAGACUAGUUCCGGCAUUAGGCAUAACAUUUGUUACUGUAGUGUUGAACUGUGUUAAUUUUUUUUUAGGUAUGAAGGACCACUGUCAUCCACUCCCAUGAAAAAACGGCCAGUACUGACAGAUCUCACUCUAAUGAGCAUCGGGUCAAGUGAUUCUGAUAAAGACAAGCAUACCUCAGAAAAGGCCAGCAAGUGCUCGGCAGGUGUGGAAGAAUUGGCCAGGCUUGAGUGCAGGAUUGACUGGGCAGUUAACCCUCCACCUGUAAAGGCAUAAGAUACUGAUGAUGAGGAGCAGGACAGCUCUGAUGAAGAGUACAUCCCUCCACUUUCUCUUCAGU